rnacentral:rRNA from 1 species
UACGAAAGAUGCAAGCGUUAUCCGGAUUCACUGGGUUUAAAAAAAGCGUAGGUAAGGUAGUAAGUCAGUGGUGAAAUCUCCGAGCUUAACUCGGAACUGCCGUUGAUACUAUCAUUCUUGAAUAUUGUAGAAGUAAGCGGAAUAUGUCAUGUAGCGGUGAAAUGCUUAGAUAUGACAUAGAACACCGAUAGCGAAGGCAGCUUGCUACACAAUUAUUGACACUGAGGCUCGAAAGCGUGGGGAUCAAACAGG